UACGGAGGGUGCAAGCGUUAUCCGGAUUCACUGGGUUUAAAGGGUGCGUAGGAGGGCAGGUAAGUCAGUGGUGAAAUCUUCGAGCUUAACUCGGAAACUGCCAUUGAUACUAUUUAUCUUGAAUACUUUGGAGGUAAGCGGAAUAUGUCAUGUAGCGGUGAAAUGCUUAGAUAUGACAUAGAACACCAAUUGCGAAGGCAGCUUACUACACAGUCAUUGACACUGAGGCACGAAAGCGUGGGGAUCAAACAGG
rnacentral:rRNA from 1 species